CCUACGGGGGGCAGCAGUGAGGAAUAUUGGUCAAUGGGCGAGAGCCUGAACCCUCCCCUCCGCUUUCCUUCUUCCUUCUCUCUUUUUUUUCCCCUUCUUUUCUCUUUGAAUAAAGUGAGGAACGUGUUCCUUUUUGUAUGUACCAUAUGAAUAAGCAUCGGCUAACUCCGUGCCAGCAGCCGCGGUAAUACGGAGGAUGCGAGCGUUAUCCGGAUUUAUUGGGUUUAAAGGGUGCGUAGGUGGUUAAUUAAGUCAGCGGUGAAAGUUUGUGGCUCAACCAUAAAAUUGCCGUUGAAACUGGUUGACUUGAGUAUAUUUGAGGUAGGCGGAAUGCGUGGUGUAGCGGUGAAAUGCAUAGAUAUCACGCAGAACUCCGAUUGCGAAGGCAGCUUACUAAACUAUAACUGACACUGAAGCACGAAAGCGUGGGGAUCAAACAGGAUUAGAUACACGGGUAGUC
rnacentral:rRNA from 1 species